AGAAAAAUGAUAUAUAAGUAUUACUUGUAAAUAUAUAAGUAUAUAAAGAAACUAUUAUGGAAUUUAAGCUAUGUAUUAAAGAGAAUUAUUUAUAUAUAUAGAGAUAUAAUAUCCUAUAAUUAUAUGAACUCUAAGAGAAAUCUAAUAUUAAACGAAGUGAAUUGAAAUAUCUUAGUAACUUUAGGAAAAGAAAUCAAAAGAGAUUCUAUGAAUAGCGUGAGCGAAAGUAGAGUAGCCUAUAAAGUAGAACGGUCUCAAAACUGUUUAAAUAUAAUGGGGAACCUUCCUCAAAGGCUAAAUAUAAUACAUAAGCGAUAGUGAAAAGUACCAUGAGGGAACAAAAACAAAAAUAGUAGUUUUAUAAGCAGUUCGAUAAAAAGAACGUACCUUUUGCAUAAUGGGUCACCAAGUUAACGUUAGAUGCGAGUAUACGCGUAGUUAAACCGAACGUUAAAAUAACGAAAUAGUGUCUAAAGUUAGACCCGAAGCACGGUGAUUUUACCAUGGUCAGGAUUAUAAAAGUCCGAACGGGUGAUUGUAGCAAAAAUCUCCGAAGAACUGUGGUAGGUGUAGUGAAAGACAACACUGACUGUGAUAGCUGGUUUUCUGCGAAACCUAUAAUAGUAGGCAAUUUAAGUAAAUAUCUUAGCAGGUACAGAAUUUAAUCUCAGACAAGGCGUGUAAACGUUUUAUAUUGUAUAAAUUGGGGAAUCAUGAAGAUUUUAUCAGUGAGUAUGUAGACUCGGAAUGGCAAAGAUAUGUCUUAAAUUAUCAGACAUAGAAUGAUAAGGUUGUAUGUCGAAAGGGAAACAGCCCAGAACAAGAGUUAAGGUUCCUAAAUUAUUAGUUAAGUGAAAUUAAGAAGGUUUUUAUUAAAGUCGACAAGGAGAUAGGCUUAGAAGCAGCCAUAAUUUUAUGACCUCGUAACAGAGCGCUUGUUAAGUUAUAAAAGCAUCGAAAAUUUAACGGAUCUAAACAAUAUACCGAAACCUUGUCCAUAAUAUAUUAUAUUAAUUCUUUUUAAUGUAAUUUAAUGGGGUAGCAGAACGUUGAGCUAGAUUAUGAUUUCUAUUUUUUAAAUAGAAUUAUAUUAAUUUAACUCAAGUGAGAAUGGUGACAUGAGUAACGAAAAGAAAAUUUUCCGCCUUAAGCUUAUGGAUAUAAUUAAGUAACGGCCUCUAAGUUUAUAUUAUCUAAAGAUUUAAACGAUGAGAAAAUCUUUUUUACUAAGGACAACAUUUUAGUGUAAAAUGUGCUGGAAAAAUAGUAAAUAUAUUUGUUAUUUAUAACAAAUGAACAAUAACCGUACCUAGAAUCUGAAACAAGUAAGCUAGUAGAGAAUACGAAGGCGUAAAUGAGCUAACAAUCAUAAAGGAACUCGGCAAAUUGACUACCGUAACUUCGGAAUAAGGAGGGCUCAUUAUUCUUGAUUAAUAUCAAGUAAAGAGGAAGAAGCAUGAAAUAAUGUUGUACGACUGUUUAAUUAAAACACAGCACUUUGCUGAAAGAUUAAAAAUCUAUGUAUAAAGUGUGAUAUCUGCCCGGUGCCGGCUGGUUAACAGAGAUAAUUGAAUAUACUACUAUUUGAUGUCGACGGAAACCCCGGUUAAAGGCGGCCUUAACGUGAGGGUCCUAAGGUAGCGAAAUGCCUUGGCCGUUAAAUGCGGUCUUGCAUGAAUGGUGUAACGAUACAACAGCUGUCUCUAUGAUUGACUCAGUGAAAUUGGAAUAGCUGUGCAGAUACAGCUUACCUCUAGUUAGACGAGAAGACCCUAUGCAGCUUUACUGUCACUAAUUAUAGAGUAUGAUAGACAAUUUUCAGAAUAUAAGGUAAUUGACAAUAUGACAAUGAGAAUCCUUUAUUUUUCUUUCAUAUGAAUGAAUUGGUUUAGGAUUAUGAGUAGAUUGUAAUUAAUGUGGCUUAUUACUGAGUCAUUAAAAAACAUUAAUUAUAGUCUUUAAAUUAUUAUAUAGCUCAUUUUAGUAAAUCAGCCUAAUUCAACUUAUUAUUUUAGAAUAGUAAGUACCCUUUGGCAAGGAACUAUCGCUAGGGGACAGUUUAUGUGGGGCACAGACCCUGUAAAGAGUAAACAGGAGUGUCUAAUAAUUAUAAAUUAUUUUGUUUGCUAUUUUGAGUAGUUUAACUAUUUUUAAUCAUAUAUAAUUAUUUAUAUUUGCAUUUAUUGUAAAUAUAUUUAAGUUUAGGUAGGAUUUUUACUAUAUAGAAAUUAGAGAUAAUUGAAAACAUUACGAAUUAUUUCUAAUGUUUUCUAGCUAUCAUUUUUGAUAGUUAUGUAUUUAAUAUCUAAAAAGCUCAACGGCUAAAUCUUGCCUUACUGUUUGAUUAUCUACAAAUCUUACAGUUGCGUAAGCAGGGCAUAGGAUCACAAGAUGCAAUAAGGAAAGAUCUUGGAUUAUUGGAAAAGCUACGCUAGGGAUAACAGGCUAAUUUGCGCAAGAGUGUACAAAAUGAGUGCGCGGUUUGGCACCUCGAUGUCGGCUUAACUUAUCCUCAUGGACGCAGGAACUAUGUAGGGUGCGACUGUUCGUCGAUUAAAAAGUUACAUGAGCUGGGUUAAAUACGUCGUGAGACAGUAUGGUUUCUAUCUUCUAGGGGGAAUUAGAAUAAAAUAAGAACGAACUUUUGUACGCAAGGAACAAGAAGAGUUUAGCCCGUAAAAAAGGUUAAAAUAUAGUUACUAACCUAUGGUUUACCUGUUGUUUAUGUGCCCAAAUAUUAAAUAUAUAUGCUAUUGUAUAUAUAUAUAUGUAUUAUUAUAAUACAUAGGGAUGUUUCUCUCACUAAGAUAAAUGUAUAGCAUAAGCACGGCAGGAACGCUAAGUUGGUUAAGGAUAAGUGCUGAAAGCAUAUAGGCACGAAGCUUAUCUUAAGAUAUUUCUUAAAUAUACGUAAUAUACUAUUACGAAAUUUAUAGGCUUUAUCCGUACGAAUCUAGAGAUUUUAAAGAAUAAAGUACUAAUUUAAUAAUUCACUAUUUAUAAAUAUAUCA
rnacentral:rRNA from 1 species